rnacentral:tRNA from 1 species
AUUUAAAUAGUUUAAAAAAAAUUUUGAUUUGUGGUAUCAAAGAUAUAAAAUUGUUUAUUUUAAAUC